rnacentral:rRNA from 1 species
UCGGGAUUACUGGGGCGUAAGCGCACGCAGGCGGUCUGUCAAGUCGGAUGUGAAAUCCCCGGGCUCAACCUGGGAACUGCAUUCGAAACUGGCAGGCUAGAGUCUUGUAGAGGGGGGUAGAAUUCCAGGUGUAGCGGUGAAAUGCGUAGAGAUCUGGAGGAAUACCGGUGGCGAAGGCGGCCCCCUGGACAAAGACUGACGCUCAGGUGCGAAAGCGUGGGGAGCAAACAGGAUUAGAUACCCUGGUAGUCCACGCCGUAAACGAUGUCGAUUUGGAGGUUGUGCCCUUGAGGCGUGGCUUCCGGAGCUAACGCGUUAAAUCGACCGCCUGGGGAGUACGGCCGCAAGGUUAAAACUCAAAUGAAUUGACGGGGGCCCGCACAAGCGGUGGAGCAUGUGGUUUAAUUCGAUGCAACGCGAAGAACCUUACCUGGUCUUGACAUCCACAGAACUUUCCAGAGAUGGAUUGGUGCCUUCGGGAACUGUGAGACAGGUGCUGCAUGGCUGUCGUCAGCUCGUGUUGUGAAAUGUUGGGUUAAGUCCCGCAACGAGCGCAACCCUUAUCCUUUGUUGCCAGCGGUUAGGCCGGGAACUCAAAGGAGACUGCCAGUGAUAAACUGGAGGAAGGUGGGGAUGACGUCAAGUCAUCAUGGGCCUUACGACCAGGGCUACACACGUGCUACAAUGGCGCAUACAAAG